UAUAGGUUCUAUUAUUAUUACUUUUUUAUUAGUUCAGGGUUAAAAUGGUGUUAAAAUUUUUUUAUGUUUCGGUGGAGGUUGGAGUUAGUCUAGGAUAGUAAAAAAAAAGUGUUUGGUUGGAGUAGGUGGGAUAAGAAGAUAAUCAUUGAUAAAGAAGAAAAAGGUGAGGGCUCGGAAUGCGUGCGGGGUUAAAGUUGGGAGGGGGAGUGGGGUUAAUGAUUGAUAAAGAAGAAAAAGGUGAGGGCUCGGAAUGCGUGCGGGGUUAAAGUUGGGAGGGGGAGUGGGGUUAAUGAUUGAUAAAGAAUUAAAAGGUGAGGGCUCGGAAUGCGUGCGGGAUUAAAGUUAGGAGGGAGAGUGGGGUUAGUAAACCCCACUAACCCGGUUUGGGGUGGGGUUUACUAACCGGUUAUUCCACCCCUUAACCCCCAACCAAACGGUGGCUUGAGGUUUUAGAAACGAAUGAUUAUUUUGCAUUAUUUUUACGGAGCGUCAGCUAGAGAUUUUAAGUUCAAAG
rnacentral:lncRNA from 1 species